UGGGGAAUUUUGCACAAUGGGGGAAACCCUGAUGCAGCGACGCCGCGUGAUUUAGAAGGCCUUCGGGUUGUAAAAAUCUUUUUUACGGGAUGAAAAUGACAGUACCGUAAGAAUAAGGUCCGGCUAAAUACGUGCCAGCAGCCGCGGUAAUACGUAUGGACCGAGCGUUGUCCGGAAUCAUUGGGCGUAAAGGGUACGUAGGCGGCCUAGUAAGUUAGAAGUUAAAGAAUAUAGCUCAACUAUAUAAAGCUUUUAAAACUGCUAGGCUUGAGAGAUGGAAGGGAAAGUGGAAUUCCUAGUGUAGCGGUGAAAUGCGCAGAUAUUAAGAAGAAUACCGGUGGCGAAGGCGACUUUCUGGUCAUCAUCUGACGCUGAGGUACGAAAGCGUGGGUAGCAAACAGG
rnacentral:rRNA from 1 species